rnacentral:rRNA from 1 species
GACGAACGCUGGCGGCGUGCUUAACACAUGCAAGUCGAACGAUGAAGCCUUUCGGGGUGGAUUAGUGGCGAACGGGUGAGUAACACGUGGGUAAUCUGCCCUGCACUCUGGGAUAAGCCCGGGAAACUGGGUCUAAUACCGGAUAUGACUUUCUUACGCAUGUAGGAAGGUGGAAAGUUCCGGCGGUGCAGGAUGAACCCGCGGCCUAUCAGCUUGUUGGUGGGGUAAUGGCCUACCAAGGCGACGACGGGUAGCCGGCCUGAGAGGGCGACCGGUCACACUGGGACUGAGACACGGCCCAGACUCCUACGGGAGGCAGCAGUGGGGAAUAUUGCACAAUGGGCGAAAGCCUGAUGCAGCGACGCCGCGUGAGGGAUGAC